ACCACAACAUUUAACAAAUCACUUUGAUGUCUUACUGUACUGUGGCGUCUUUUGACAUUUUCGAUGUCCCACCAUAACGUGACAUUUUUACUUCUAUUUUGGAUUACUAUUACUUCUGUAUUGCUUUUAUCACAUAUUACCUUUACUGUUACCUCUAAUAUUAGAUUCCUUUCACCAUUACUUAUUACUAUCACCUAUUAAAACUUCAGGAAGCUAUUUAUGUAUUUAUUUGACAUCAGUGAACUAUACUGCUGAGCCUGGGAGCUCCCUGCACUUUCUGUUAGAAUUUUAAAACAAAAUGUCUUUGUUUAAGAUAAAAAAACCUUUAACAUGUUGCAAAUCUGAAAAGCUGCUUAAUAAACAUAUGCUUAAAGGCAUUUAAACAAAGUUAUUUGUUUAUGGGAUUGGUUACAGGCAGAGCCACGGCACCGGUAACAGCCAGUCAGCAGUGACAGCCGAGCAUGAGGAGGAGACAAAGUUUUACCAGGUGGAGAAACUCUGGAGAGCAGAUCUAUCCUAUGGAAAUGGAUUUUCUUGUUCACACCAAGACUCGUUUAUUCGAGGGAAUCACGUGUUGCUCUGACAACGUGGUCGCGCGCCGGGGUGGUUCCCCAUUUACCUGACGAGGUGAGGAGGGUAAUGUGAACGCACUACCGAAUAAGAUCGACGAACUGGCUGCGCUGGUGAAAAACAUCAGGACCUACAGAGAGUGCAGUCUGGUGUGCCUCUCUGAAACAUGGCUCAGGUCUAGCAUCCCGGAUGCUAACGUGGAGCUACCCGGUUUCAGUACAGUCAGAGCGGACAGAGACACGAAAGCCUGCGGGAAGCGGGAAGGACGAGGACUCGCUUUAUAUGUAAACACAAGCUGGACAUUAAAAUCUCCAGCUGCUGCAGGGACACCGGGCUCUCGGCUGUAAGCCUCCGUCCCUGCCCAGAGAGAUUGGACGCCAUUGUUGUUAUUGUUUACAUUCCUCCACGUGCCGACGCGAGCGACGUCAUCCACUCCGCCGUUGCUCAACUACAAUUAUACAACAAGUAGUUCGAACCGAGCCAUCUGAUUGGUCCACAAGACAUUUAGAACGUGCUCCAAUCAGCAUGACAGCACACCUUACUCACCACUACAAAUAUUACUACGCCAUAAACAAUAAACUCACAAGCGCCUCGGUCCUGACCGCAUCACCGUCGUGCUCAGACGACGUUAAACACACCCUCUCCGUUAGUAUUGAUUACCACAGCACCCGGAGGCGCGUGUGUUCAUCUCUGGGGACUUCAACCAUGUGACAUUGGACAAAACACUACCUGCUUUCUACCAGUAUGUGGACUGUAACACCAGGGGAAACAGGACCAUUGACCUACUGUAUGCUAACGUAACGGACGCAUACAGCGCCACCCCGCUGCCUGCACCGGGGAAAGCAGAUCACAACCUCAUUCUGCUCCACAAAGCAAGAGUGAGGAAGCUACCCACAACCACACCUCAUUCAGGAAGUGGUCUCCUGAGGCAGAGCAGGCUCUGAGAGACUGUUUUGGAACCACAGACUAGGAUGCACUGCGGGGGUCGCAGGUUGUUGACUGCGCUACUGACUACAUCAGCUUCUGGAUGGACGUUGUUGUUCCGGUUAAAACUGUACGCUGCUAUGCAAACAACAAGCCCUGGAUCACCAGUGACAUCAAGGGCCUUCUGAAUCAGAAGAAGAAGGCGCCUUUAAAGAUGGCAGAGCCACGGCACCGGUAACAGCCAGUCAGCAGUGACAGCCGAGCAUGAGGAGGAGACAAAGUUUUACCAGGUGGAGAAACUCUGGAGAGCAGAUCUAUCCUAUGGAAAUGGAUUUUCUUGUUCACACCAAGACUCGUUUAUUCGAGGGAAUCACGUGUUGCUCUGACAACGUGGUCGCGCGCCGGGGUGGUUCCCCAUUUACCUGACGAGGUGAGGAGGGUAAUGUGAACGCACUACCGAAUAAGAUCGACGAACUGGCUGCGCUGGUGAAAAACAUCAGGACCUACAGAGAGUGCAGUCUGGUGUGCCUCUCUGAAACAUGGCUCAGGUCUAGCAUCCCGGAUGCUAACGUGGAGCUACCCGGUUUCAGUACAGUCAGAGCGGACAGAGACACGAAAGCCUGCGGGAAGCGGGAAGGACGAGGACUCGCUUUAUAUGUAAACACAAGCUGGACAUUAAAAUCCCCAGCUGCUGCAGGGACACCGGACUCUCGGCUGUAAGCCUCCGUCCCUGCCCAGAGAGAUUGGACGCCAUUGUUGUUAUUGUUUACAUUCCUCCACGUGCCGACGCGAGCGACGUCAUCCACUCCGCCGUUGCUCAACUACAAUUAUACAACAAGUAGUUCGAACCGAGCCAUCUGAUUGGUCCACAAGACAUUUAGAACGUGCUCCAAUCAGCAUGACAGCACACCUUACUCACUACUACAAAUAUUACUCCGCCAUAAACAUUAAACUCACAAGCGAUUCCCGGUCCUGACCGCAUCACCGUCGUGCUCAGACGACGUUAAACACACCCUCUCCGUUAGUAUUGAUUACCACAGCACCCGGAGGCGCGUGUGUUCAUCUCUGGGGACUUCAACCAUGUGACAUUGGACAAAACACUACCUGCUUUCUACCAGUAUGUGGACUGUAACACCAGGGGAAACAGGACCAUUGACCUACUGUAUGCUAACGUAACGGACGCAUACAGCGCCACCCCGCUGCCUGCACCGGGGAAAGCAGAUCACAACCUCAUUCUGCUCCACAAAGCAAGAGUGAGGAAGCUACCCACAACCACACCUCAUUCAGGAAGUGGUCUCCUGAGGCAGAGCAGGCUCUGAGAGACUGUUUUGGAACCACAGACUAGGAUGCACUGCGGGGGUCGCAGGUUGUUGACUGCGCUACUGACUACAUCAGCUUCUGGAUGGACGUUGUUGUUCCGGUUAAAACUGUACGCUGCUAUGCAAACAACAAGCCCUGGAUCACCAGUGACAUCAAGGGCCUUCUGAAUCAGAAGAAGGCGCCUUUAAAGAUGGCAGAGCCACGGCACCGGUAACAGCCAGUCAGCAGUGACAGCCGAGCAUGAGGAGGAGACAAAGUUUUACCAGGUGGAGAAACUCUGGAGAGCAGAUCUAUCCUAUGGAAAUGGAUUUUCUUGUUCACACCAAGACUCGUUUAUUCGAGGGAAUCACGUGUUGCUCUGACAACGUGGUCGCGCGCCGGGGUGGUUCCCCAUUUACCUGACGAGGUGAGGAGGGUAAUGUGAACGCACUACCGAAUAAGAUCGACGAACUGGCUGCGCUGGUGAAAAACAUCAGGACCUACAGAGAGUGCAGUCUGGUGUGCCUCUCUGAAACAUGGCUCAGGUCUAGCAUCCCGGAUGCUAACGUGGAGCUACCCGGUUUCAGUACAGUCAGAGCGGACAGAGACACGAAAGCCUGCGGGAAGCGGGAAGGACGAGGACUCGCUUUAUAUGUAAACACAAGCUGGACAUUAAAAUCCCCAGCUGCUGCAGGGACACCGGACUCUCGGCUGUAAGCCUCCGUCCCUGCCCAGAGAGAUUGGACGCCAUUGUUGUUAUUGUUUACAUUCCUCCACGUGCCGACGCGAGCGACGUCAUCCACUCCGCCGUUGCUCAACUACAAUUAUACAACAAGUAGCUCCGACCGAGCCAUCUGAUUGGUCCACAAGACAUUUAGAACGUGCUCCAAUCAGCAUGACAGCACACCUUACUCACCACUACAAAUAUUACUACGCCAUAAACAAUAAACUCACAAGCGCCUCGGUCCUGACCGCAUCACCGUCGUGCUCAGAUGACGUUAAACACACCCUCUCCGUUAGUAUUGAUUACCACAGCACCCGGAGGCGCGUGUGUUCAUCUCUGGGGACUUCAACCAUGUGACAUUGGACAAAACACUACCUGCUUUCUACCAGUAUGUGGACUGUAACACCAGGGGAAACAGGACCAUUGACCUACUGUAUGCUAACGUAACGGACGCAUACAGCGCCACCCCGCUGCCUGCACCGGGGAAAGCAGAUCACAACCUCAUUCUGCUCCACAAAGCAAGAGUGAGGAAGCUACCCACAACCACACCUCAUUCAGGAAGUGGUCUCCUGAGGCAGAGCAGGCUCUGAGAGACUGUUUUGGAACCACAGACUAGGAUGCACUGCGGGGGUCGCAGGUUGUUGACUGCGCUACUGACUACAUCAGCUUCUGGAUGGACGUUGUUGUUCCGGUUAAAACUGUACGCUGCUAUGCAAACAACAAGCCCUGGAUCACCAGUGACAUCAAGGGCCUUCUGAAUCAGAAGAAGAAGGCGCCUUUAAAGAUGAAUUUAAUGUCAGUGCUCUGUGUUGAUGUAAAGCUGUGAAUUACCUGGAGGCCUCUGUCCUGGUUUCAAACAAUGAAGACUCUGUGAUCCUGGAUGAAGUGGAGACACCUGGAGGAAAUAAAAAGAGAAACAUACAAA